rnacentral:rRNA from 1 species
AACGCGAAGAACCUUACCAGCUCUUGACAUGCCCGGUAUGGGGAAGAGAGAUCUUCUUCUUCAGUUCGGCUGGCCGGGACACAGGUGCUGCAUGGCUGUCGUCAGCUCGUGUCGUGAGAUGUUGGGUUAAGUCCCGCAACGAGCGCAACCCUCGCCCUUAGUUGCCAUCAUUCAGUUGGGCCCUCUAAGGGGACUGCCGGUGAUAAGCCGCGAGGAAGGUGGGGAUGACGUCAAGUCCUCAUGGCCCUUACGGGCUGGGCUACACACGUGCUACAAUGGCGGUGACAGUGGGACGCAAUGGGGCAACCCUGCGCAAAUCUCAAAAAGCCGUCCCAGUUCGGAUUGGGCUCUGCAACUCGAGCCCAUGAAGUUGGAAUCGCUAGUAAUCGUGGAUCAGCACGCCACGGUGAAUACGUUCCCGGGCCUUGUACACACCGACGCGUA